GACAGAGGGGGCGAGCGUUAUUCGGGAUUAUUGGGCGUAAAGGGCGCGUAGGCGGCGCGAUAAGUCAAAGGUGAAAUCCCUCGGCUCAACUGAGGAACUGCCUUUGAGACUGUCGAGCUUGAGGCCGGGAGGGGGUAGCGGAAUUCCCAGUGUAGCGGUGAAAUGCGUAGAUAUUGGGAGGAACACCAGUGGCGAAGGCGGCUACCUGGACCGGUUCUGACGCUGAUGCGCGAAAGCGUGGGUAGCAAACAGG
rnacentral:rRNA from 1 species